rnacentral:rRNA from 1 species
UACGGAGGGUGCAAGCGUUGUCCGGAAUCACUGGGCGUAAAGGGCGCGUAGGCGGCUCAUGAAGGCUGUGGUGAAAGUCCGGGGCUCAACCUCGGAUCGGCCGUGGCGACUCGUGGGCUGGAGCACUGUAGAGGCGGGUGGAAUUCCGGGUGUAGCGGUGGAAUGCGUAGAGAUCCGGAAGAACACCAGUGGCGAAGGCGGCCCGCUGGGCAGUGGCUGACGCUGAGGCGCGA